rnacentral:ncRNA from 1 species
AAUAGAUCUGUAGAAACUGGUUUUACUUAAUAGUAAAUGAAAAGGGAAUCAUGUGAAAAUCAUGAGCUGUCGCGCAACUGUGAAUACCUUACAAAGUUUUAUCCACGAUCCACUGUGUAUACGGGAAGGAGGAUAAAAUGGUAUAAGUCAGGAGACCUGCCAAUUUCUGAACAGGCAAC